UAGGGAAUCUUCCGCAAUGGGCGAAAGCCUGACGGAGCAACGCCGCGUGAGUGAUGAAGGUCUUCGGAUCGUAACACUCUGUUAUUAGGGAAGAACAAAUGUGUAAGUAACUAUGCACGUCUUGACGGUACCUAAUCAGAAAGCCACGGCUAACUACGUGCCAGCAGCCGCGGUAAUACGUAGGUGGCAAGCGUUAUCCGGAAUUAUUGGGCGUAAAGCGCGCGUAGGCGGUUUUUUAAGUCUGAUGUGAAAGCCCACGGCUCAACCGUGGAGGGUCAUUGGAAACUGGAAAACUUGAGUGCAGAAGAGGAAAGUGGAAUUCCAUGUGUAGCGGUGAAAUGCGCAGAGAUAUGGAGGAACACCAGUGGCGAAGGCGACUUUCUGGUCUGUAACUGACGCUGAUGUGCGAAAGCGUGGGGAUCAAACAGG
rnacentral:rRNA from 1 species